UUCUUGCAGCAGACAUUUACCAUUGCUGGUUUCGAUUCAUGCAUUGUAGCUUUGGAUUGCCACCUGGUACCAGGGUUAAUCUGCCCAUCCGUGCUUCAUGCCCCAGUGCCUCCUUUGAACUUUUAUGAAUAGAGGUUCUAUCGGGCGUCUUCUUCCAGAAACACCUCGUUUCAUCACAGUUGAAGAUUUGCUGUGGAUGGUA
rnacentral:lncRNA from 1 species